CGAACGGGUGAGUAACACGUGGGUGACCUGCCCUCAGCUCUGGGAUAAGCCUGGGAAACUGGGUCUAAUACCGGAUAUGACUACUGAUCGCAUGGUUGGUGGUGGAAAGUUUUUCGGCUGGGGAUGGGCCCGCGGCCUAUCAGCUUGUUGGUGGGGUGAUGGCCUACCAAGGCGACGACGGGUAGCCGGCCUGAGAGGGCGACCGGCCACACUGGGACUGAGACACGGCCCAGACUCCUACGGGAGGCAGCAGUGGGGAAUAUUGCGCAAUGGGCGGAAGCCUGACGCAGCGACGCCGCGUGGGGGAUGACGGCCUUCGGGUUGUAAACCUCUUUCGACCGGGACGAAGCGCAAGUGACGGUACCGGUAGAAGAAGCACCGGCCAACUACGUGCCAGCAGCCGCGGUAAUACGUAGGGUGCGAGCGUUGUCCGGAAUUAUUGGGCGUAAAGAGCUCGUAGGCGGUGUGUCACGUCGAUCGUGAAAACUUUCAGCUUAACUGGGAGCUUGCGGUCGAUACGGGCAUCACUGGAGUUCGGCAGGGGAGACUGGAAUUCAAGGUGUAGCGGUGAAAUGCGCAGAUAUCUUGAGGAACACCGGUGGCGAAGGCGGGUCUCUGGGCCGAUACUGACGCUGAGGAGC
rnacentral:rRNA from 1 species